AAGUUAAACUUCUUUCCAGGGAAGAAGGGCGGGGAUGUCAGGGCUGGAGAGUGCCCGUGUCCUUCUGUGUGCAUUGGGCUCCUUCCUCCUUAAUUCUCUGCUUUCCACUUUUAGGCUGAACUCCAGUGCACCCAGUUAGACUUGGAGCGGAAACUCAAGUUGAAUGAAAAUGCCAUCUCCAGGCUCCAGGCUAACCAAAAGUCUGUUCUGGCUCCUUGAAUGUAUUGAGGCCUCUCCUCUCUGUACUAUUUCUGCUUGUCAUCAUUUUCGUGAGGAGAAGGAGCAAGCUGCGCUGAGCCAGGCCAACGGUAUCAAGGCCCACCUGGAGUACAGGAGUGCCGAGAUGGAGAAGAGUAAGCAGGAGCUGGAGACGAUGGCGGCCAUCAGCAACACUGUCCAGUUCUUGGAGGAGUACUGCAAGUUUAAGAACACUGAAGACAUCACCUUCCCUAGUGUUUACAUAGGGCUGAAGGAUAAACUCUCGGGCAUCCGCAAAGUUAUCACGGAAUCCACUGUACACUUAAUCCAGUUGCUGGAGAACUAUAAGAAAAAGCUCCAG
rnacentral:lncRNA from 1 species